rnacentral:snoRNA from 1 species
GGCAGGCACUAGAGCAAAAGGCUACUGCCAUAGACACACUGUGACUCAUAAGUCCUGUACCCCUUCCUGGGCUCAGGGAUAAAUUUGGUCACAGAUAUAA